rnacentral:rRNA from 1 species
CACGUAGGGGACGAGCGUUGUCCGGAUUCAUUGGGCGUAAAGCGCGCGUAGGCGGCUCGGAAAGUCGGUCGUGAAAUGCCGGGGCUCAACCCCGGGACUGCGUCCGAUACUCUCGAGCUGGAGGCAGGUAGGGGAGAUCGGAAUUCCUGGUGUAGCGGUGAAAUGCGCAGAUAUCGGGAAGAACACCCGUGGCGAAGGCGGUUCUCUGGGACGGUACUGACGCUGAGACGCGAAAGCGUGGGGAGCGAACAGG